CUGCCACUUUGUUAAAUUUGUCAGCUCUAGAAGUCUCCUGGUGGAUUUUUGUUUUAUAGGGAGAGCGGUUCUAGAUACAGAACCAGCAAACAGAGAUUGUUUGAAUUCUUCUUUUUCUAUUUGUUUCCCUUUCACUUUCUUCUGUUGCCUGAUUGCUCUAGCUAGUGUUAUGAGAAUUAUAUUAAGUGGUGAGAGUGAAAAUCCUUAUCUUUUUCCUGAUUAUAGAGAAAAUGCUUUCAGUUUUUCUCCAUUCAGUAUAAUGAUGGCUUUGGGUUUCUCAUAAAUAGCCUUUAUAAUACUGAGGUGAAUUUCUUCUAUUCCCAGCAUUUUAAUAUGAAUGGGUGCUGUAUUUUAUUGAAGGCCUUUUCUGCAUCUAUUGAGAUAAUCAUGUGAUUCUUGUCCCUAAUUCUAUUUAAGUGCUGGGUGCAGUAAUCUCAGCUUCCCGACUCUCAGCACAGGGGAGAAGAGUUGGGAAGUGCUGGUGAAUGGUGCAGUCCUGCAGUGGGUGAGGCAGACUUCUGACCUGGAUGCUCCAGUCGUUGGGGUUUAGACUUUGAGGAACCUUUGGAACUCUUUAGCCCAUAACCCUCCACAGGUUUCACCUUCCCUGCUGUGAAUGUGAAUUAUCCAGUAUCCACCUAGAGGGCAGAAGCUCCUGUGUGGUCACUGCAUGUCUUUCCAUUGGCUCUUAUGGGACCAGCAACAAGGGAGCUUUCUCCUCUUCGUAGCCAGAGCCUCUAUGAGCAGUUUCUUUUACAGACCUCUCUCAAGUUUCAGUGAGUUCACCUGGUAACCCCCCUCACCGAGGAGCAGUCUUCCCACUCCCUAAGUGAUGCUGAGAAACUCCUAGAAGUGUAUUCUUCCUCCAAUCUGCCAUUUCUCUCCCUAAACAUUUUAAAAACAUGAAGUUUUUCAAUCCAUGAACAUGGAUUUGUCUUUUAAAGUUUCUUUCAACAGUAUUUUGUAGCUUUCAUUCUCUUUGCUAUUAUCAUGAAUGGACUUGUGUUCAUGAUUAAUAUACAGAAUAUACGAAGAACACAAAAAACUUAACACCAAAAAUAGCCCCAAUUAAUAAAUGGGCAAAAGAACUAAAGAAAUUCUUCUCAAAAGAAGAAAUACGUGUAUGAAUUGUCAUGUGUAGCUAAUAAAAAAACAUUAAAAAAGAAGAAAUACAAAUGGUCAAUAAAUAUAUGAAGAAAUGUUCAAUAUCUCUAUCAAUCAGGGUGUUUUAAUCAGGUUUUUUGUUUAUGUGUUUGUUUUUGUUUUGUUUUGUUUUGCUGCUGUGACCAAAAGAACUGACAAGAACAAUUUAGGGGAGGAAAAGUUUUAGAGGUCUCACAGUUUUAGAGGUCUCAGUUCAUAGAUGGCCACUCCAUUGCUCCUUGUCCAAGAUGUGGCAGAACAUCAUGCAAGAAAAAUGUGGUGGAAGAAAGUGGCUCAGGACAUGGCUACCAGAAAGCAGAGAGUGACUUCUGCUCAACAAGGACAAAAUAUAUACCCCAAAGGCAACCCCCAGAGACCACCUCCUCCAGCAAGACCAAACCUGCCUACAGUUACCACCCAGUUAAUCUGUUCCAGUGGAUUAAUCCAAGGAUUAAGUUAAAAUUUUCAUAACCCAAUCAUUUCACCUGUAAACUUCCUCACAUUGUCUCACAUUAGAGAGGUUUGGGGGAAUAGCUAAUACCCAAACUAUAACACAAGGAAAUGCAAAUCAAAAUUAAAUUCAGUUUUCAAAUAAAAAUUAAAUUCAGUUUUCUUCUCACCAGUCAGAAUGGCAAUUAUUGGGAAUAUAAGUAAUAAUAAAUGUUGAUGAGCAUGUGGGGAAAAAGGCAUACUCAUAUAUUGUCGGUGGGACUACAAAUUAUACAACAACUCUGAAAAGCAGUAUGAAGAUGCCUCAAAAAACUAGGAGCAAAAUCAUUAUACGACCCAGCUAUCCCAUUCCUUGGCAUAUAUCCCAAAGAUCCAAAAACACUAUACUAUAGGAAUGCAGCCGCAUCAAUGCUUAUGGCAGCACAAUUCAUAAUAGCCAAGCUAUGGAACUAGCCUAGGUACCCAUCAACAAACAGAUGGAAAAGAAAAUGGGGUAUAUUAAUACAAUGGCAUUUUACUUCAUCAUAAAGAAGAAUGAAGUGAUGGAAUUUGCUGGUAAAGGGAUGGAACUGGAGAAUAUCAUGCUGAGUAAAACUAACCCAGGCACAGAAAGUCAAGGGUUGAAUGAUUUCUCUCACAUGCAGGAGCUAGACCAAAAUAAGGGUGGGGAGAGAGAGAGAGAGAGAGAGAGAGAGAGAGAGAGAGAGAGAGAGGGAGGGAGGGAGGGAGAGGGAGGGGGGAAUUCCAUGAAUAUAGAAAAAAGAUGAGUACAAUAUAGGAAGGUGAUUUCAGGGGAAAGAGUAAAGAUGGAUUAAGGGAGGACAGUGGAAUGAAGUGACCAAACUUUCCCAUGUGCAUAUGUGAAGAUACCACAGUGAAUUUCUCCUUUAUGUAAACCCAUGAUGUACUAAGGUUUUAAAAACAUAAAUAAAUGGAAGUAAGAUGAGUAGAGGGAAGGAAACAGGGGAGGGAAGAGGGGCAGGAAAGGGCAAGUGCUUGGAACUGAAUCGGAGCCAAUCAUGUUCCAUGUUUGUAUAAUUAUGUCAAAAUGAACCCCCAAUAUCAUGUGUAUCUAUAAUGAACUAAGAAAAAAUUAUCUUUGUGCUUUUAAGAAAAGCUUAAUGCUGAGCUUAAAAUGCAAGAAACAAAACACUA